AUUUUGAAUUUAAUAAAGGUAGGCCCCAGCAAUGUUUAAGAGAAAAAUUGUUACGUAUGUGCAUGACCAUGCAUGUAAAUGGAUCAUAAUCUUUUGGCAACUGUGUUCAUGACUGACAGACACAUGAAAAGAAGCCUCGAGAAAGUAUACUCCGCACUGAGUUUGCUAAUGCUAUCAGAUACAUAAAUAAAGGCUUAUCGGAGGAUAAGCGCCUUAGGUUCCUCCACUGGGAUUUGCAUAGACAUUCCAGAAAAGCUACCAAUGUAUUGUCACUUCUAGGGAAAGUGGCAGCAUAUGCGUUGAACUUGACUGGCAUCUUUUAUUGUCAAGUCACACCAAGUUUAAGGCCCAUUGGGUUUUUGUAUUCAUCUGAAAAAAAUGAUGAUGAAUGCUCUCUCAAAAUUACUUCCAAUGAAAAUGACUUGAGAAGGAAUUUGGACUCAGGAAUUACCAAUGCUUGUUCUGAAGAUGACAUAAAUCAGAGUAUCAAGACCCCUAUGUUUCAAAAUGGGGUGCUAAGGACCAAUUGCAUAGACUGUUUAGAUCGCACAAAUGUUGCCCAACAUGCCUGUGGUCUGGU